rnacentral:rRNA from 1 species
UCGCGAAAACUUCGCAAUGGGGGAAACCCCGACGAGGGAAUUCCAAGUGCCAGCACUUUGUGUUGGCUGUUCUUCUGUCUAAAAAACAGGAGAAGUAAGGGGCGGGUAAGACGGGUGCCAGCCGCCGCGGUAAUACCCGCGCCCCAAGUGGUGGUCGAUAUUAUUGAGCCUAAAACGUCCGUAGCCGGUCUUCUAAAUCCUUGGGUAAAUCGGGCAGCUCAACUGUCCGAAUUCCGGGGAGACUGGGAGACUUGGGACCGGGAGAGGUCAGAGGUACUUCUGGGGUAGGGGUAAAAUCCUGUAAUCCUGGAAGGACCACCGGUGGCGAAGGCGUCUGACUAGAACGGAUCCGACGGUGAGGGACGGAGCCCUGGGGCGCAAACGGGAUUAGAUACCCCGGUAGUCCAGGGUGUAAACGCUGCGGGCUUGGUGUUGGGGGUCCUUAGUGGGCGCCCAGUGCCGGAGAGAAGUUGUUAAGCCUGCUGCUUGGGGAGUAUGUCCGCAAGGAUGAAACUUAAAGGAAUUGGCGGGGGAGCACCGCAACGGGAGGAGCGUGCGGUUCAAUUGGAUUCAACGCCGAAAAACUCACCAGGAGCGACGGAUAUAUGAAGGUCAAGCCGAUGACUUUACCUGAUUUUCC